UUGGGCCGAAUUUGGCCCAUUCCCUUUUCUUUCCUCCUCAGCCUACAGCCCGUGCUGCUCCCUCAGCCGAAGUCUGUUUUUGCUCCCUCGCUUCAGUGCAUCUUCAACCUCCAGCCGCCUCUGUCCCGUGCGCAUGCACUGGCGCCUCCUCCUUCCAAAUCCGGCCUCCCCGUUACUCCUCAUUCCAAAUUAGUUGCGGGAAUGGAAUCCUCUCAAUCUCCUCUACAAAAUCCCCAAGAAAUCCCCAAAAGUUUUUAUGGAAAUCCUUUCCGAUUUCGCGGUUCAACCUUUCCUUUUCCCGGCGAGGAUCCUAAACUUUCCCAAGUUUUUCCCGUCGAUGUGGGCUCGAUCCUGGGCUCCCAUGGCUAUAUAUAGAGCCCCCUCCAGCUCCUCUUUCGGCCGCCACCUCUCCCUCUCUCCGCCGUCGCCGGAAACCUUCUCCCCGCGAGCGCCUUCUCUCUCCGUCGCCGGUAGCCGCUCCAGCCGCCGUGCGCUGCCGCCUCGGUCGUCGCCGCUCUGCGCCGCCACCUCUCUUGGCUCCGCAAAUCCCAGCCGCUGGUUAUUUUGUGCCAAAUCCCACCGGAGGUAGCCCGUCGUCGUGAACCGGAGCGCCGCCGUCGUCGCUGUGCCUCCAGCCGCACGUUCGUCGUCAUCCGUCGUCGCCUUCGGUCGCCGUCGACUCCAUUGGGUUCGCAGGAACAAGGUGAAGCCCGGCCACUGGUUUUUCUUCAUCGAGGAACGCUGAAACGCCGCCGCCAUCGCUGACCCGACCCCGUCACCGCCUCUACCUCGCUGCCGGCCGUCUGCCGUCGUCAUCCAUCGUCACGCCACCCCUCACGUCGUCAUCGUCUCCGUGUGUUGUCGUCGGACCGUUGUCGUGGCCUCUUCUUCUCCCGUCGCCACCGUUUCCUGGAUCGUGAGUGCGUCGGAAGUUUUCAAGAAGACUUAUUGAAGACCCAUUGUUGCAAGUCACACAGAUCCCAAACACAAAUCCUUUGAACAUGUUGAUUCUCUAUUUAUUUUAAAUGUGUAUUUAUUUUCGAAUGUCACCGGGUGGUGUGAACUUAUUCCUUUGUUAUGGCCAAUUUGCAUUGAUUACUCUUUCUUUUUUUUUCGGGGAAUGAUUACCGUAUUUCUUGAUUACCUUGGGUUAUAAUUUGACUAGUUGGAUUUAUAUAUUGGUUCAACUGUUUUAGAUAUAAUUGCUUAGCCAUGCUUAGAAACAUUAGCACACGAUUGGGAUAACUAAUGAUUCACUAUUACUUAAUGA